CCUACGGGCGGCUGCAGUGGGGAAUAUUGCACAAUGGGCGCAAGCCUGAUGCAGCCAUGCCGCGUGUGUGAAGAAGGCCUUCGGGUUGUAAAGCACUUUCAGCGGGGAGGAAGGCGGUGAGGUUAAUAACCUCAUCGAUUGACGUUACCCGCAGAAGAAGCACCGGCUAACUCCGUGCCAGCAGCCGCGGUAAUACGGAGGGUGCAAGCGUUAAUCGGAAUUACUGGGCGUAAAGCGCACGCAGGCGGUCUGUCAAGUCGGAUGUGAAAUCCCCGGGCUCAACCUGGGAACUGCAAUCGAAACUGGCAGGCUAGAGUCUUGUAGAGGGGGGUAGAAUUCCAGGUGUAGCGGUGAAAUGCGUAGAGAUCUGGAGGAAUACCGGUGGCGAAGGCGGCCCCCUGGACAAAGACUGACGCUCAGGUGCGAAAGCGUGGGGAGCAAACAGGAUUAGAUACCCUUGUAGUC
rnacentral:rRNA from 1 species